rnacentral:sRNA from 1 species
AACAACUUCAGAAAAUCGUAUGGAGACAGU